rnacentral:tRNA from 2 species
UAUCUUGUAGACUAAUCGGGUAAGUCGAGAAUUUUUGAUGUUCUAUAAUGUAGGUUCGAAUCCUACCAAGAUAA